rnacentral:rRNA from 1 species
AACGAACGCUGGCGGCAGGCCUAACACAUGCAAGUCGAGCGAGGACUUCGGUCCUAGCGGCGGACGGGUGAGUAACGCGUGGGAACGUGCCCUUUGCUUCGGAAUAGCCCUGGGAAACUGGGAGUAAUACCGGAUGAGCCCUUUGGGGGAAAGAUUUAUCGGCGAAGGAUCGGCCCGCGUUGGAUUAGGUAGUUGGUGGGGUAAUGGCCUACCAAGCCGACGAUCCAUAGCUGGUUUGAGAGGAUGAUCAGCCACACUGGGACUGAGACACGGCCCAGACUCCUACGAGAGGCAGCAGUGGGGAAUCUUAGACAAUGGGGGAAACCCUGAUCUAGCCAUGCAGCGUGAGCGAUGAAGGCCUUAGGGUUGUAAAGCUCUUUCAGCUGGGAAGAUAAUGACGGUACCAGCAGAAGAAGCCCCGGCUAACUCCGUG